CCUGGUGGCUCAGUGGGUAAAGAAUCUGCCUGAAAUGCAGGAGACCCAGGUUGGAUUCCUGGGUCAGGU
rnacentral:tRNA from 1 species